rnacentral:rRNA from 1 species
UCCACCUCUUCCCAUUCCGAACAGAGAAGUUAAGCCUCGUCACGCCGAUGGUACUGCGUAACAGUGGAAGAGUAGGUAGCCGCCGUCU